rnacentral:rRNA from 1 species
GAGUUUGAUCAUGGCUCAGAUUGAACGCUGGCGGCAUGCCUUACACAUGCAAGUCGAACGGCAGCACGAUCUAGCUUGCUAGAUUGAUGGCGAGUGGCGAACGGGUGAGUAAUACAUCGGAACGUGCCCUGUAGUGGGGGAUAACUAGUCGAGAGAUUAGCUAAUACCGCAUACGACCUGAGGGUGAAAGUGGGGGACCGCAAGGCCUCAUGCUAUAGGAGCGGCCGAUGUCUGAUUAGCUAGUUGGUGGGGUAAAGGCCCACCAAGGCGACGAUCAGUAGCUGGUCUGAGAGGACGAUCAGCCACACUGGGACUGAGACACGGCCCAGACUCCUACGGGAGGCAGCAGUGGGGAAUUUUGGACAAUGGGCGAAAGCCUGAUCCAGCAAUGCCGCGUGUGUGAAGAAGGCCU